UCAAGCUACAAAGAGCACAAGGGGAAUGCCUUGGCACCGAGAGCCGAAGAAGGACGUGACUAACUGCGAUAAGCUGCGGGGAGCCGUAAGUAGGCUUUGAUCCGCAGAUUUCCGAAUGGAGCAAUCCGGCAAGAGGAAAGUCUUGUCAUCAUAUACUGAAUACAUAGGUAUAUGAGGGGAACCGCCUGAACUGAAACAUCUAAGUAGGGCGAGGAAGAGAAAUCAACUGAGAUUCCGUAAGUAGUGGCGAGCGAACGCGGAAGAGGCCAAACCGAGAGUAGUAAUACUUUCGGGGUUCGGACAGAAUACGGUAUUGUAAAGGUUUAGUGGAAUGGAAUGGGAAGUCCAACCGAAGAAGGUGAGAGUCCUGUACACGAAAAGCCUGAACAGCCAUCUGUAUCCAGAGUACCGCCGGACACGUGAAACCCGGUGGGAAUAUGGGGGGACCAUCCUCCAAGCCUAAAUACUACUCGGUGACCGAUAGUGAAGAAGUACUGUGAAGGAAAGGUGAAAAGUACCCCUGACGGGGAGUGAAAAAGAACCUGAAACCUUGUGUUUACAAGCACCGAAAGCUCAUCAAAGAGCGAUCGGGUACCUUUUGUAGAAUGGUCCGGCGAGUGAAUGUAACCGGCGAGGUUAAGCACUUAAGGUGUGAAGCCGCAGCGAGAGCAAGUCUGAAUAGGGCGUAUGAAGUCGGUUGUAUUCGACCCGAAACCGGGUGACCUACCCAUGGUCAGGUUGAAGUAAAGGUAAAACUUUAUGGAGGACCGAACCGACUCCCGUUGAAAUGGUAGCGGAUGAACUGUGGGUAGCGGAGAAAUUCCAAUCGAACCCGGAGAUAGCUGGUUCUCUCCGAAAUAGCUUUAGGGCUAGCCUUGAAAUAGAUUACCGGAGGUAAAGCACUGAAUUGGCUAGGGGCCGAGAGGUUACUGAACCUUAUCAAACUAAGAAUGCCGGAUAAUCGUUUUUCAGGAGUCAGACAGUGGGAGAUAAGUUUCAUUGUCAAAAGGGAAACAGCCCAGACCCACAGCUAAGGUCCCCAAGUAUAGUUAAGUGGAAAAGGAUGUGGAAUUGCACAGACAACCAGGAUGUUGGCUUAGAAGCAGCCACUCAUUAAAAGAGUGCGUAAUAGCUCACUGGUCGAGUGACUCUGCGCCGAAAAUUUAACGGGGCUAAACUAUACACCGAAGCUUGGGAUACAUCUAAUGUAUGGUAGGAGAGCGUUCUGUAUGGGGAGAAGUCGUAGCGAAAGCGGCGGUGGACUAUACAGAAGUGAGAAUGCCGGAAUAAGUAGCGAGAAUUAAGUGAGAAUCUUAAUGGCCGAAAGUCUAAGGUUUUUGGAGGAAGGUUCGUCCGCUCCAAGUAAGUCGGGAGCUAAGGUCAGGCCGAAAGGCGUAGCCGAUGCACAUACGGUUGAUAUUCCGUAACCAUCUGUAAUUUAAGCAAAGGGACACUUCAAAAGGGUGUGACCCGGGCGUUGGUUGACCCGGGCGUAAGGGACCGAAAUUAGAGUAGGGAAGCACACUUGGCUGAAGGCGAGAAAAGCUUUGCGUAUAGAAGCAGAUGCCCGUACCGCAAACCGACACAGGUGGACAGGAAGAGAAUUCUAAGGCCAGCGGGAGAAGGGUAGUUAAGGAACUCGGCAAAUUGACUCCGUAACUUCGGAAUAAGGAGUGCUCGAAAGAGCCGCAGAGAAUAGGCCCAGGCGACUGUUUAGCAAAAACACAGGUCUCUGCCAAAUCGAAAGAUGAAGUAUAGGGGCUGACACCUGCCCGGUGCCGGAAGGUUAAGAGGAGGAGUGAGAGCUCCGAAUUGAAGCCCCGGUAAACGGCGGCCGUAACUAUAACGGUCCUAAGGUAGCGAAAUUCCUUGUCGGGUAAGUUCCG
rnacentral:rRNA from 1 species